rnacentral:sRNA from 1 species
GUCGCGCCCCUCCCUCUCCGCCCCCACCCCCUGUCGGCGUCUGGGCCGCGGCCCCUUCUCUGUCUCCCUCGCCUCCCCCAUCACGUCCCCUGACACCGACACCCCAUUGCUCCCACAGUCUCCACAGUCUCCACUUUGGUCCCCAGCGCUGUCCGCCCGAGGAUUUGCCUGAAGGCUGCCCCCAACUCUACACCCGCCCCCCGAGGGCCACCGAGGACCAUGACUAAGACAGAUCCUGCCCCGAUGGCCCCGCCGCCCCGAGGAGAGGAGGAAGAAGAGGAGGAGGAGGAUGAACCCGUCCCCGAGGCCCCCAGCCCCACCCAGGAGCGCCGGCAGAAGCCUGUUGUGCACCCCUCGGCACCUGCCCCCCUCCCUAAGGACUACGGUAACCACUGUCCCCACCCUGGAAUCUGGCUUGGAGCGUUGGGUGG